rnacentral:rRNA from 1 species
UGGGGAAUCUUCCGCAAUGGACGAAAGUCUGACGGAGCAACGCCGCGUGAGUGAUGACGGCCUUCGGGUUGUAAAGCUCUGUUAAUCGGGACGAAAGGUCCUCUUGCGAAUAGUUAGAGGAAUUGACGGUACCGGAAUAGAAAGCCACGGCUAACUACGUGCCAGCAGCCGCGGUAAUACGUAGGUGGCAAGCGUUGUCCGGAAUUAUUGGGCGUAAAGCGCGCGCAGGCGGAUCAGUCAGUCUGUCUUAAAAGUUCGGGGCUUAACCCCGUGAUGGGAUGGAAACUGCUGAUCUAGAGUAUCGGAGAGGAAAGUGGAAUUCCUAGUGUAGCGGUGAAAUGCGUAGAUAUUAGGAAGAACACCAGUGGCGAAGGCGACUUUCUGGACGAAAACUGACGCUGAGGCGCGAAAGCCAGGGGAGCGAACGGGAUUAGAUACCCCGGUAGUCCUGGCCGUAAACGAUGGGUACUAGGUGUAGGAGGUAUCGACCCCUUCUGUGCCGGAGUUAACGCAAUAAGUACCCCGCCUGGGGAGUACGACCGCAAGGUUG